rnacentral:rRNA from 1 species
UUAAGUUAAUAAGGGCGCACGGUGGAUGCCUUGGCACUAGGAGCCGACGAAGGACGUGACAAACGACGAUAUGCCUUGGGUAGCUGUAAGUAAGCGAUGAUCCAGGGAUUUCCGAAUGGGGGAACCCAACAGGUANNNNNNNNNNNNNNNNNNNNNNNNNNNNNNNNNNNNNNNNNNNNNNNNNNNNNNNNNNNNNNNNNNNNNNNNNNNNNNNNNNNNNNNNNNNNNNNNNAGGGCAAACCGAAGAGUUUACUCUUCGGGGUUGUAGGACUGCAAUGUGGACUCAAAGAUUAUAGAAGAAUGAUUUGGGAAGAUCAGCCAAAGAGAGUAAUAGCCUCGUAUUUAAAAUAGUCUUUGUACUUAGCAGUAUCCUGAGUACGGCGGGACACGUGAAAUCCCGUCGGAAUCUGGGAGGACCAUCUCCCAACCCUAAAUACUCCCUAGUGACCGAUAGUGAACCAGUACCGUGAGGGAAAGGUGAAAAGCACCCCGGGAGGGGAGUGAAAUAGAACCUGAAACCGUGUGCCUACAACAAGUUCGAGCCCGUUAAUGGGUGAGAGCGUGCCUUUUGUAGAAUGAACCGGCGAGUUACGUUAUGAUGCGAGGUUAAGUUGAAGAGACGGAGCCGUAGGGAAACCGAGUCUGAAUAGGGCGCCUUAGUAUCAUGACGUAGACCCGAAACCAUGUGACCUACCCAUGAGCAGGUUGAAGGUGCGGUAAGACGCACUGGAGGACCGAACCAGGGCACGUUGAAAAGUGCUUGGAUGACUUGUGGGUAGCGGAGAAAUUCCAAACGAACUUGGAGAUAGCUGGUUCUCUCCGAAAUAGCUUUAGGGCUAGCGUCGACAUUAGAGAUUCUUGGAGGUAGAGCACUGUUUGGGUGAGGGGUCCAUCCCGGAUUACCAAUCUCAGAUAAACUCCGAAUGCCAAUGAAUUAUGGUCGGCAGUCAGACUGCGAGUGCUAAGAUCCGUAGUCGAAAGGGAAACAGCCCAGACCACCAGCUAAGGUCCCAAAAUAAUUGUUAAGUGGAAAAGGAUGUGGGGUUGCACAGACAACUAGGAUGUUAGCUUAGAAGCAGCUAUUCAUUCAAAGAGUGCGUAAUAGCUCACUAGUCGAGUGACCCUGCGCCGAAAAUGUACCGGGGCUAAAACAAUUUACCGAAGCUGUGGAUACCUUUAUAGGUAUGGUAGGAGAGCGUUCUAUGUGUGAUGAAGGUAUACCGUGAGGAGUGCUGGAACGCAUAGAAGUGAGAAUGCCGGUAUGAGUAGCGAAAGACAGGUGAGAAUCCUGUCCACCGUAAGACUAAGGUUUCCAGGGGAAGGCUCGUCCGCCCUGGGUUAGUCGGGACCUAAGGAGAGACCGAAAGGUGUAUCCGAUGGACAACAGGUUGAUAUUCCUGUACUAGAGUAUGUAGUGAUGGAGGGACGCAGUAGGCUAACUAAAGCAGACGAUUGGAAGAGUCUGUCUAAGCAGUGAGGUGUGAUAUGAGUCAAAUGCUUAUAUCUGUAACAUUGAGCUGUGAUGGGGAGCGAAGUUUAGUAGCGAAGUUAGUGACGUCACACUGCCAAGAAAAGCUUCUAGCGUUUAAACAUACUCUACCCGUACCGCAAACCGACACAGGUAGUCGAGGCGAGUAGCCUCAGGUGAGCGAGAGAACUCUCGUUAAGGAACUCGGCAAAAUGACCCCGUAACUUCGGGAGAAGGGGUGCUGACUUUAAGUCAGCCGCAGUGAAUAGGCCCAAGCAACUGUUUAUCAAAAACACAGCUCUCUGCUAAAUCGUAAGAUGAUGUAUAGGGGGUGACGCCUGCCCGGUGCUGGAAGGUUAAGAGGAGUGCUUAGCGUAAGCGAAGGUAUGAAUUGAAGCCCCAGUAAACGGCGGCCGUAACUAUAACGGUCCUAAGGUAGCGAAAUUCCUUGUCGGGUAAGUUCCGACCCGCACGAAAGGCGUAAUGAUUUGGGCACUGUCUCAACGAGAGACUCGGUGAAAUUUUAGUACCUGUGAAGAUGCAGGUUACCCGCGACAGGACGGAAAGACCCCAUGGAGCUUUACUGCAGUUUGAUAUUGAGUGUCUGUACCACAUGUACAGGAUAGGUAGGAGUCUAAGAGAUCGGGACGCCAGUUUCGAAGGAGACGCUGUUGGGAUACUACCCUUGUGUUAUGGCCACUCUAACCCAGAUAGGUGAUCCCUAUCGGAGACAGUGUCUGACGGGCAGUUUGACUGGGGCGGUCGCCUCCUAAAAGGUAACGGAGGCGCCCAAAGGUUCCCUCAGAAUGGUUGGAAAUCAUUCGCAGAGUGUAAAGGUAUAAGGGAGCUUGACUGCGAGAGCUACAACUCGAGCAGGGACGAAAGUCGGGCUUAGUGAUCCGGUGGUUCCGUAUGGAAGGGCCAUCGCUCAACGGAUAAAAGCUACCCUGGGGAUAACAGGCUUAUCUCCCCCAAGAGUUCACAUCGACGGGGAGGUUUGGCACCUCGAUGUCGGCUCGUCGCAUCCUGGGGCUGUAGUCGGUCCCAAGGGUUGGGCUGUUCGCCCAUUAAAGCGGCACGCGAGCUGGGUUCAGAACGUCGUGAGACAGUUCGGUCCCUAUCCGUCGCGGGCGUAGGAAAUUUGAGAGGAUCUGCUCCUAGUACGAGAGGACCAGAGUGGACUUACCGCUGGUGUACCAGUUGUCUUGCCAAAGGCAUCGCUGGGUAGCUAUGUAGGGAAGGGAUAAACGCUGAAAGCAUCUAAGUGUGAAACCCACCUCAAGAUGAGAUUUCCCAUGAUUAUAUAUCAGUAAGAGCCCUGAGAGAUGAUCAGGUAGAUAGGUUAGAAGUGGAAGUGUGGCGACACAUGUAGCGGACUAAUACUAAUAGCUCGAGGACUUAUCCAA